CAGGAACCCUAACCCCAUCCGCCUCAAUCCCUCCCGUUCUAGAAACCCCGAUGAGCACCCUACCCUGCCAAAUCGCCACUCCAUCCACCCUUCUUCGCUGCAUCAAGUCCAAAAUCCUGUCAUUCGCCCCAAUGAUUGGAAAGUGGUUUCUCGAAAGAAUCCGAAACCCGCAUUUUCAGCUACCCUUUCCACCUAUUUCUCCCUAUUCAUCGGCAACACCUACAAUGGGAAGAUAGCAGACAACUACAUACCCUGGAACCCCACCUUCAGGAGACCUCACAACUACGCCUUCAUCCGUUUCCUGUACGGAGAUGACGUGCGCGCGGCUAUGGGUUUCCUUGAUGGGAAGAUGGUGGACGGAAGGAUUUGGGGAAUCUCCUGGGCUAAACCCAGGGUUCCUCCCUCUCCCACCAGAUCAGAGCCCCUCAAUGAAGACUCCAACUCAAGGGCAUCUCCUGCUCAAACGCUGAGCACCGGCCGCUCCGUUGAUGUAGCCUAAGGCCCUACCAGAUCUGCAUCUGAACCCACCAAUCUGCCCAAGUCUCCAACCAGAAAUGCAUCCAUCCCCAUCAGUGCAAGCCCUCCUUCGGCAGCCGCGCAUCUGGUGCAUGCAGAUUCUAAGGAGGUCCGAGAAAAGCUAUGAGAUCUGAGCCUCGCCUUGGUGGGGUAUGCCUCCAAAAGUGACCUGUCCAUCAGCCAUUUGGUUAAAUGCCUCAAUGACUCAAGGAUGGCCAUUUAAGAGUUUUCAAGUGGCUAGUAUGGAAGUCCUUGAUCAGCCUGCUGUCCAUGCCUCUGUGAAAGAUUUAGAUUUCAGGAUUAAGAAACACAUCAUUUGCAGGUUAGUUCUCAUUACACAAACUGUAUACGUAAGGCAAUAAAUUUUGUUAACUUGACAUGUUCGACAAAAUGCCAGUCUUCUACUAGUUGUAAUAAAUAAAGGAAGAUUGAUUAUGAACAUUGUACAUUUAUUCUUCUAUAGACAUGAACACAUAGUUAUAUAAAGUUUGCUACUAGUAUGCUUAUCUGUGUCCUUUUUUCUUUUUUCCUUCCACAGACAAGCACACAAAUACAUAUAUAUUAAUUUAUAUAUUGUAUAUUGAAACCUCUAACAGUCUAUCGAUGAUCACAAUAC